CUUGUGGCGGUGGAUGUAAAUAAACGGUGGAGCGACUGCAAAAGAGCCGCUUCACUGGGUAAAAUUAGGGUGUGCCGCGGAACCCGCUCCUUAGCUAGUCACACUUCGGAGACGCGGGCAACGCAGGUGCUAAUGUCUAAAGGGCCGGCUGCAACCGGCCC
rnacentral:sRNA from 1 species